CCCCAUUUACCUUUCACUCGCAUACGACAAACAUCUCUUAAUGAAGCAGUGGAGAAAUAUUGAGCGAGCAAAUUUAAGAAAAAAAAAGAAAAAAUAAACUUGAGAAAAAAGAGUUUAAUUAUAGACAUCGAAAUGAUUAGACAUUCUUGCCUGUUUUCAUGUAUUCUUGAGUUACUCUUUGGUUACAAGAUUUUUGCACUAACUAGUGCAACAAAAUUUUAACAUUCAAUGGUUGCAGCUUCCAAGGAAAAAUUGAGUGAACUGCUGCAGAUCAUUGCGGAAAAUCGCGAAAUGGUGCAAAACUACAACCAAACUUAUGCACGGGGGCGUGAACUGUGACAUAAUAUAAACUCUAAAUCAAAUUCAAUGGGUCUGGUCAACAAGCCAGAGGCAACUUGGCGAAAAGUUUAGAUUUAGGCGACCAUAAGUAUUGAACAAAAAGGAGGAUGAGCUAUAACAAAACAUCGUUGAAGCAAAUUGGAGCAAGGCCAAAGGAAGAAGUAGAAAUGACUGUCGAAGAGGAUAAAAUUUCAGAGUUAACAAAUUUAGAGGCAGCAGUGGAGGAUUUAAGGGGCAUUGAAAUUUGGCACAUCGGUCGAAUCUUUCGAUCAUGCUUUUCUUCACUAAUAGAGUAGUGUAGAGUAGUUUAAUGUGCAAUUUUCUGUUUUUUUAAAUUGUUUUUUAUGUGUUUAGAAACAAUGUAGCAUAUGUACUAUUUGAAGAGGAUACGUCAAUUGCAGCUAAAAAGCGAAAGCAAUUUUGCGUAUGUGAUUUAUGAUUUUAAAAGUUUAAGAUUUGGUUUCUUUUUGUUUGGCUAAGCCAGAUUAUUGAAAGCCAGGGAAGGAAGGACCCAUUUAACAUACGCAAUUUGCUCCAAGACCAAAUCGAUACUGAAAGACGUUUUCAAGAAACCAUCCAAAAGCAAUGAAGGGAGUAAAAUCAAUUAUAGUCGUUCAACGCCAAGGUACUGAAGCUGAAAAAGUUCGAUUUCCUUUUUCCCAAAAUACCAAAUGAUUUCAAAGGUGAUGACAAGCGACUUCGUUAAACGCUUUCU